UGUAGUCUGCAACCCGACUACAUGAAGCUGGAAUCGCUAGUAAUCGCAGAUCAGAAUGCUGCGGUGAAUACGUUCCCGGGUCUUGUACACACCGCCCGUCACACCAUGGGGAGUUGGAAAUGCCCGAAGUCGGUGACCUAACCGAAAGGGAGGAGCCGCCGAAGGCAGGUCUGAUAACUGGGGUGAAGUCGUAACAAGGUACC
rnacentral:rRNA from 1 species